rnacentral:rRNA from 1 species
AUUGAACGCUGGCGGCAUGCCUUACACAUGCAAGUCGAACGGUAACAGGUCUUCGGAUGCUGACGAGUGGCGAACGGGUGAGUAAUACAUCGGAACGUGCCCAGACGUGGGGGAUAACGAGGCGAAAGCUUUGCUAAUACCGCAUACGAACUAAGGAUGAAAGCAGGGGACCGCAAGGCCUUGCGCGUUUGGAGCGGCCGAUGGCAGAGUAGGUAGUUGGUGGGAUAAAAGCUUACCAAGCCGACGAUCUGUAGCUGGUCUGAGAGGACGACCAGCCACACUGGGACUGAGACACGGCCCAGACUCCUACGGGAGGCAGCAGUGGGGAAUUUUGGACAAUGGGCGAAAGCCUGAUCCAGCAAUGCCGCGUGCAGGAUGAAGGCCUUCGGGUUGUAAACUGCUUUUGUACGGAACGAAAAGGCUCUGGCUAAUACCUGGGGCACAUGACGGUACCGUAAGAAUAAGCACCGGCUAACUACGUGCCAGCCGCCGCAGUAACAC